rnacentral:antisense_RNA from 1 species
GACCGACAUCAGUGAUUCGUUCUGCGAACCUUGCCCUACAGCGAGAUAGGCAUUCAUUCCCAGCUCUUUCAUUUGCUGCUCGCCAAUGACGCGUGUGCUGAUGUUUUUACUGUAAGCAUCCGCCAGCUGGCGCGCCUGGGAGGCAAGAUAAGCAGCGUUACAGAUGUUUGGUGGCAUAUUGCCUAAAUCUUUCGC